CUGGCGGCGUGCCUAAUACAUGCAAGUCGAACGGUCUUUCUAUGGAAGCUUGCUUUCACUGAGAAGAUAGUGGCGGACGGGUGAGUAACACGUGGGUAACCUGCCCAUAAGAGGGGGGAUAACAUCCGGAAACGGGUGCUAAUACCGCAUAGUUUUCUUGAUCGCAUGAUCGGGAAAGGAAAGACGGCCUUUGUGCUGUCGCUUAUGGAUGGACCCGCGGCGUAUUAGUUAGUUGGUGAGGUAACGGCUCACCAAGACGAUGAUACGUAGCCGACCUGAGAGGGUGAUCGGCCACAUUGGGACUGAGACACGGCCCAAACUCCUACGGGAGGCAGCAGUAGGGAAUCUUCCGCAAUGGACGAAAGUCUGACGGAGCAACGCCGCGUGAGUGAAGAAGGUUUUCGGAAUCGUAAAACUCUGUUGUCAGAGAAGAACAAGUUGGAGAGUAACUGCUCCAGCCUUGACGGUAUCUGACCAGAGAGCCACGGCUAACUACGUGCCAGCCGCUGC
rnacentral:rRNA from 1 species